GGGCAGGCUCGCCCCGAUGCAGGGCUUGAUCCAAGGACCCUGAGAUCAUGACCUGAGCUGAAGGCAGAGGCUUAACCCACUGGGCCACCCAGGUACCCCAAAAGAUUUUUUUUUAAAUAAAAUAAAUGAAUAAACAAACCUUGUCUUUUGCUGUGGUCCGUCUUCCUGCUGCAGCAGAUUCCUACGUGGAAGCCCCGAGUCUGCAGGGUGACAGUAUUUGGAGGUGGGGUCUUCGGGAGGCAAUUAGGUUUAGAGGAGGUCCUGCGGAUGGAUGGAGCCCUCCUGAUAGGAUUAGUGCCCUGAUAAGAAGGUUUACCCAGGAACUCACAAGGUUUUUCUGCAGCGUGAGGCCGCAGCGAGAUGAGAACUUGAACUCCCUCCGAACGCCGGCUGUGACGGCUCCAGAUUUGGACUUCCAGCCUCCAGAAUGGAGAAACUCCAAACUCCUCCCGGACAGCCUACAAGCCUGCCCAACAGCCUGCAAGCCUGCUCACCACGGCCCAGGUCUCCCGCGCCAGCCUCUCUCCCUGAGAAUAACUCCAGCCCGACCAUGCUUGCUUUCUCUUGUUCCUCCCUAUACCCCAGGCUCCUUCCUCCUUUAGGUUCUGCCGUAUUCCCUUAUUCUAGAAAGCUCUUUGUGCUCCCCACCCCACCAGGGCUAGCUCCUUCUUAUAGAUCAGCUGUCCACUUCAAAACCAUCACCUCACAGCAACUUUUCCUGAUCACCCAGGCUAGGGUGGGUCUCCCUCUCUCGUUCAGGCACAGCACCAAGGUCUUUUUUUUUUUUUUUUUUUUAGCCUAAAACUUGACACAACUUACAGUCCUACGAUUGUGCAUGUGCUUGUUCGUUGUCUGUCCCCCCUGCCCAUCAACUCUUUGGAGGCAGCGACCAUAAUUAAUUUGUUCACCACUCUGUUCCCAGAGACUAGCACAGUGCCUGGCCCGUGUAUGCCCCUUGAUACUUACUGCAUCAAUGAACAAGUGAGUAAAUAAAAAAACAUUCAACUAAUCCAUCCGUGGCUAUGUCCAUCCGUCAGGGUGUAUGGCCAUGCGUAUACGUGUAUAACUUCCAGUUACCUAUUGCUGGGUUAUAUACACCAUCGAAUUGAAUGGCUUAAUAAUAACAUUAUUAUCCCAUGAUCUCCUGUUGGGUGUUCCGUGCUCUCAGCUGAGCGGUUUUUCUUGGGACAGUUCAUGUGGUUGCCGUCGAGUGGCAGCUGGAGUUCUCUGAAGUGAGAGUUGAUGUUGGCCGUCAAUGGGGGAAUACAGCUGGGCUGCCCGCUAGAAUCCCUGCUCGUGGACUCUCCAUGCGGCUUGAGUUCACCAUGGACUGGUGGCUGAGUUGGGGGGGGGGGGAGUUGUCCCAGAGGAGUAUCUCCCUUUGCCCAGGCAGAAGCUGCAAGUCUGCUUAUGACCUAGACUGAGAAGUCCCACAGUGUCAUUUAAGCCCUGUUCUGAGAAUCACAACUCACAAGGAAGGAAAUUUCUCAAGGGCGCUAGGACUAGGGCUCAGCGGUAUGGCUCGCCCGAGGCCGUCUUUGCAGAUGGACCGUCUCCAUGUCUUCUGUCCUGAUGAUGUGUUUCUCUUGGGCUCCAGCUCAGACCUCCUGUAAUCCGAGUCCUGGGUUGCAGUGACACUUGUUGGUUACAGUUGGAGCAUCUCUUCCCCGAAGUUUUCAGAGGGCUCAGAGGAGUCCUUCAGUUUCAAGUUACUCCAGCAAACUGGUCUGCAUGUUGGAGGCUAACCGGCUGCGGGAGGAGCAGCCGCCUCUCUGGGCUUCUCGGGGUGGUGGGAAGAGAAGCCAGGGCUGUUGGUCACCAUCCAGGAAUCUUGGUGCUCGCUGUGUGUUGCCAAGUGUGGUGCGCUGACCCCGGUCAGUGCUCUGAGCACUGAAAUCACGGCUUGGAGAGCCAAGUCUGAGGAGAUGGGAUCGUUUCAAGGGUCGGAGAUGCCAGCCCUGUCUCAGUUUUGCCUUAGAGCUAGUAUUUUUAUCCAAAUGUGAAAAGCUCUCCUUCUCCAGCUCUCUUGCACUCCCACACC
rnacentral:lncRNA from 1 species